UCCUUGAUGGUCUAGUGGUCAUGAUUUCCGCUUGUCAAUUCUCACUGAGAAUAACAAGCGCGGGAGACCGGGGUUCGAUUCCCCGUCAGGGAG
rfam:Trichophyton equinum CBS 127.97 supercont1.24 genomic scaffold, whole genome shotgun sequence.